rnacentral:rRNA from 1 species
UACGUAGGGGGCAAGCGUUGUCCGGAAUCAUUGGGCGUAAAGCGCGUGUAGGCGGCUCGGUAAGUCCGCUCUGAAAGCCCAGGGCUCAACCCUGGGAUGCGGGUGGAUACUGCCGGGCUCGAGUCCGGAAGAGGCGAGUGGAAUUCCCGGUGUAGCGGUGAAAUGCGCAGAUAUCGGGAGGAACACCAAUGGCGAAGGCAGCUCGCUGGGACGUGACUGACGCUGAGACGCGAAAGCGUGGGGAGCAAACAGG